GCCCGUGUGGCUCAGUGGCUAGAGCAUCAGCCUGCGGACUCAAAGGUCCCAGGUUCGAUUCCGGUCAUGGGCA
rfam:Myotis davidii contig58086, whole genome shotgun sequence.